AGUGAACGCUGGCGGUAGGCCUAACACAUGCAAGUCGAACGGCAGCACAGUAAGAGCUUGCUCUUACGGGUGGCGAGUGGCGGACGGGUGAGGAAUACAUCGGAAUCUACUUUUUCGUGGGGGAUAACGUAGGGAAACUUACGCUAAUACCGCAUACGACCUACGGGUGAAAGCAGGGGAUCUUCGGACCUUGCGCGAUUGAAUGAGCCGAUGUCGGAUUAGCUAGUUGGCGGGGUAAAGGCCCACCAAGGCGACGAUGCGUAGCUGGUCUGAGAGGAUGAUCAGCCACAAUGGAACUGAGACACGGUCCAGACUCCUACGGGAGGCAGCAGUGGGGAAUAUUGGACAAUGGGCGCAAGCCUGACCCAGCCAUACAGCGUGGGUGAAGAAGGCCUUCGGGUUGUAAAGACCUUUUGUUGGGAAAGAAAAGCAGCAGGUUAAUACCACGCUGUUCUGACGGUACCCAAAGAAUAAGCACCGGCUAACUUCGU
rnacentral:rRNA from 1 species